rnacentral:rRNA from 1 species
GGGGUUCCACCUGCUGUGGAGCCUGCGCCUAAGUUUGACUCACCGAUCUGAAACUUACCUGGGAACGACACUGGAAGGAUUGACAGAUUGAGAGCUCUUUCUUGAUUCUAGGGGCGGUGGUGCAUGGCCGUUCUUAGUUGGGGGAACGAUUUGUCUGGUUAAUUCCGAGAACGAAAUAGACUCUAGCCUACUAAAUAGACUGUUCGUCUUUUCAGAUGCAUAACCCUGCUUGUUCUUCGGGCCUUGGAGCCUGUAACUCACAUUAAUUGGCUUCUUAUAGGUGCAGGCUUUCGAUCCGGCAAACCAGACGUGCCAGCUGCAGGACUGAGAUGCCCUUAGAUGGCCAGGGCCGCACGCGCGCUACGCUGAAUCUUCAGCUUCCUAUUAACUGACCCUACUCCGUCGGAGUUCUUCUGCGGCGAGCCUUCUUCGUCACUGGGAGGGGGAUUGCGUUAUUCCCCUUGUCCGAGGAUUCCCACAAGCGCAAGUCAUACCAUUGCGUUGAUUACGUCCCUGCCC